rnacentral:tRNA from 2 species
AGGGAAGUGGCGCAAUUGGUAGCGCAACGGUCUCCAAAACCGUAGGUUGUGGGUUCGAGUCCCGCCUUCCCUA